ACGGGUGAGUAACGCGUGGGAACGUGCCCUUCGGUUCGGAAUAACUCAGGGAAACUUGAGCUAAUACCGGAUACGCCCUUAUGGGGAAAGGCUUGACUGCCGAAGGAUCGGCCCGCGUCUGAUUAGCUUGUUGGUGAGGUUACGGCUCACCAAGGCGACGACCAGUAGCUGGUCUGAGAGGAUGAUCAGCCACACUGGGACUGAGACACGGCCCAGACUCCUACGGGAGGCAGGAGUGGGGAAUAUUGGACAAUGGGGGCAACCCUGAUCCAGCCAUGCCGCGUGAGUGAUGACGGCCUUAGGGUUGUAAAGCUCUUUUCUCCGGGACGAUAAUGACGGUACCGGAGGAAUAAGCCCCGGCUAACUUCGUGCCAGCAGCCGCGGUAAUACGAAGGGGGCUAGCGUUGCUCGGAAUCACUGGGCGUAAAGGGCGCGUGGGCGGCUGAUUUAGUCGAGGGUGAAAGCCCGUGGCUCAACCACGGAAUGGCCUUCGAUACUGGUUGGCUUGAGACCGGAAGAGGACAGCGGAACUGCGAGUGUAGAGGUG
rnacentral:rRNA from 1 species